rnacentral:rRNA from 1 species
AUUGAACGCUGGCGGCAUGCCUUACACAUGCAAGUCGAACGGCAGCACGGGAGCUUGCUCCUGGUGGCGAGUGGCGAACGGGUGAGUAAUAUAUCGGAACGUACCCUAGAGUGGGGAUAACGCAGCGAAAGUUGCGCUAAUACCGCAUACGAUCUACGGAUGAAAGUGGGGGAUCGCAAGACCUCAUGCUCAUGGAGCGGCCGAUAUCUGAUUAGCUAGUUGGUGAGGUAAAGGCUCACCAAGGCGACGAUCAGUAGCUGGUUUGAGAGAACGACCAGCCACACUGGAACUGAGACACGGUCCAGACUCCUACGGGAGGCAGCAGUGGGCAUUUUGGACAAUGGGCGCAAGCCUGAUCCAGCAAUGCCGCGUGCAGGAUGAAGGCC